rnacentral:rRNA from 1 species
GAAGUUGGUGAAUUUUGUUCAUUUUUUUGACCUUUUUUAAACUAUGCUAUUUUUCCCGUAGUGGUACAUGGCUGUCGUCAGUUUGUGUCGUAAGGUGUUGAGUUAAGUCCUGCAAUGAGCGCAACCCUCUUUUUGUAGUUGCCAUUGUUGAAUUUGGAACCCUAAACAGACUGCCGGUGAUAAGUUGGAGGAAGGUGAAGAUGACGUCAAGUCAUCAUGCCCCUUAUGCCCUGGCGACACACGUGCUACAAUGGCCGGGACAAAGGGUCGCGAUUCCGCGAGGGUGAGCUAAUUCCAAAAACCCGUCCUUAGUUCGGAUUGCAGGCUGCAACUCGCCUGCAUGAAGC